GCCUCGGUAGCAAAGCCCGGCCAUUGCGCGUCCUUGGUAAGGACGAGGCCGCGGGUUCGAAUCCCGCCCGAGGCUC
rnacentral:tRNA from 1 species